rnacentral:rRNA from 1 species
CCUACGGGUGGCAGCAGUGGGGAAUAUUGGGCAAUGGGCGCCAGCCUGACCCAGCAACGCCGCGUGAAGGAAGAAGGCUUUCGGGUUGUAAACUUCUUUUGUCAGGGACGAAGCAAGUGACGGUACCUGACGAAUCAGCCACGGCUCACUACGUGCCAGCAGCCGCGGUAAUACGUAGGUGGCAAGCGUUAUCCGGAUUUACUGGGUGUAAAGGGCGUGUAGGCGGGACUGCAAGUCAGAUGUGAAAACCACGGGCUCAACCUGUGGCCUGCAUUUGAAACUGUAGUUCUUGAGUACUGGAGAGGGAAUCGGAAUUCCGUGUGUAGCGGUGAAAUGCGUAGAUAUACGGAGGAACACCAGUGGCGAAGGCGGAUGGCUGGACAGUAACUGACGCUGAGGCGCGAAAGCGUGGGGAGCAAACAGGAUUAGAUACCCUUGUAGUC